AACAGAUAGAACGGGUGCUUUUCAUCGCUGGUUCUGCUUUCCUUGCCUAUGGCUGCGUGUCCCCAGCUGACAGCUCAGCCCAUGAUGCCUCUGGCUAUUGGAUUCCUCUGAUACACCAACUGAAUAUAUGAGGCAGAGCUUGCCAAGGAGUGGGAGGAAGGUGCCAGUACUGAAGCCAGGGUUGUGACACCCUGCUCAGAUUGUUUGG
rnacentral:lncRNA from 1 species